rnacentral:lncRNA from 1 species
CGGGAAACUCCGAUUUGGGCGUUCCGGUGCCGGGGGGAGCGGGGCGGGAGGGACCCGGGUCGGAUCCCGGAUCCCUGAGCUGGAUCCCAGAGCUGGAUCCCGGAUCCCAGACCCAGAUCGGAUCCCAGAGCUGGAUCCCGGAUCCCAGAGCUGGAUCCCGGAUCCCAGACCCGGAUCGGAUCCCAGAGCUGAAUUCCAGAUCCCAGAGCUGGAUCCCAGAUCCCAGAGCUGGAUCCCGGAUCCCAGACCCGGAUCAGAUCCCAGAGCUGAAUUACAGAUCCCAGAGCUGGAUCCCAGAGCUGAAUUCUGGAUCAGAUCCCAGACCCAGACCAGAUCCCAAAGCUGGAUCCCGGAUCAGAUCCCAGACCCAGACCAGAUCCCAAAGCUGGGUCCUGGAUCCCAAACUGAGAUCCCAAGCACAGUGUGGGGUGGCAGGAGGGCAGAUCUCAGACCCCAUCCCAGAUCCUGGAUCCCUGACCUGGAUCUCAGACCAGGUCUCAGUCCUGGAUCCUGAAUCCCAGACCCAGAUCUCAGUCCUGGAUCCCAGACCCAGAUCUGUCCUGGAUCCCAGACCCAGAUCCCAUCCUGGAUCCCAGACCCAGAUCCCAGUCCUGGAUCCCAUCCUGGAUCCCAGAUCCCACCCCAGCCCGUGGCCGUGCUGGCCUGGCCUCAUCCAGGUGUGCCCGAGGUGGUUCUGGGGCUCGAUCCCAUCCCAGAUCCCAAACCCUGACCCCAAGCACCAAGUGGGGCGGCUGGAGAGCAGAUCCCGGAUCCCGAGCCGGGGUGGCAGAUCCCAAACCCGGAUCCCAGAGGGGAUCCCAGGGCCCGAUCCCAGUGUGGCCGUGCCCGGCUGGCCCCGCCUUGGUGCCACAGGGAGCCCUUGCUGUGCUCCAGGGUCUGGAUGCCAUCCCAGAUCCCAAACCCGGAUCCCAGAGGGGAUCCCAGGGCCCGAUCCCAGCAUGGCCGUGCCCGGCUGGCCCCGCCUUGGUGCCACAGGGAGCCCGUGCUGUGCCACAGGGUCUGGAUGUCAUCCCAGAUCCCAGACCUGGAUCCCAGGGCCCGAUCCCAGUGUGGCCGUGCCUGGCUGGCACCGCAGGGAGCCCGUGCUGUGCUCCAGGGUCUGGAUGCCAUCCCAAAUCCCAAACCUGGAUCCCAGGGCCCGAUCCCGUGCCCGGCUGGCCCCGGCUGGCGCCGCAGGGAGCCGAUCCCACAGCAGCUCCAUCCCCCGGCAGAUCCCAUCCCGGAUUCCAGAGCCCACAGCCGGAUCCCAGCUGCCGGCCCGUGGGAGCC